UCUGUGAAUGAUUCUCGCACUGGUGCUUUCUCCAACGGGUCCUAAACUUUACACUUUGGAUAGAGUGGAGCUGCUGCUGCGUACGGAGACUGGAUAGAAAUCACCACAUUCAUGAGGGUGUUUGUUCAGGUUGAAUUCAUGGGGGUGGAGAAGCAAGCCAACUGCAACCACCUGAAAGCUGUGUCGUCUAGAAUGAGCCCUUGAGACGCUCCCUCCUCCUCCUCCCUCAUCAUAUUCUCCCUGGCAGUGUUCAUCCAGCCGGACCGUCGAUGGUGUUCACCUUACACCCCCCAGAGGAGUACUGAGGCCGUCUUCCUCAUCCUCUUCAUCAGUCUUCUCAGGAAUGGUACCCCAACAAUUGAUUCCUACAGUCGCCUAGGUGGUCCACCUUUCCUGUGGCCGAAAUGGUUGCUGUAUGGACAGUGGAGAGGACAUGGAUGUCUCGUUUGUCAUGCCACUUUACUGCCAUCUGUUGACAUUUCUUAUUUUAUAUAACGGGUCAUUUAGGAUGGCAGUAGCAUUGUUGAUGAAAUGCAGUCAAAUCAAAUCAAAUCAAAUGUAUUUAUAUAGUCCUUCGUACAUCAGCUGAUA